CAGCCGCCGCGGUAAUACGAAGGGUGCAAGCGUUAAUCGGAAUUACUGGGCGUAAAGCGCACGCAGGCGGUUAUAUAAGAUAGAUGUGAAAUCCCCGGGCUCAACCUGGGACCUGCAUUUGUGACUGUAUAGCUAGAGUACGGUAGAGGGGAUGGAAUUCCGCGUGUAGCAGUGAAAUGCGUAGAUAUGCGGAGGAACACCGAUGGCGAAGGCAAUCCCCUGGACCUGUACUGACACUGAGGCACGAAAGCGUGGGGAGCAAACAGGAUUAGAUACCCGUGUAGUCCCUGUCUCUUAUACA
rnacentral:rRNA from 1 species